rnacentral:tRNA from 1 species
ACGCUUUUAGUUUAAAGGUAAAAUAUAAGUUUCCAAAACUAUAAGAUGAAGGUUCAAAUCCCUCAAAGCGUG